rnacentral:lncRNA from 1 species
GGAAAGAUUUCCUUGAUGCUAGGGCUGUAACUUCAGAGUGUAUGUGAACAUAAACUGUCCUCAAUUUGGAAGAAUUCUCUAGUAGAUUUUUGAGCAAAGGUGCCAAGCCUCUCAUUUUAAAAAGAGACAUUACUGCUGGCUCUGCUGAUGUACUUGGCUUUAUACACUACAAAUUAAUCAAUUCAAGCCAAUGCGUUAAAAUUGCUUUAUUUGGGUACCCAUCGUCAAGUGCGAUACCCAGAGUUUGAUCCUUGGGCGGGACCCAAAUUUUGGAAGGAGAGAACCAUCCCUCAAGUUGUUUUCUGACUUCCACAUACUUGCAUGCCGCGCCUGCAGCAGAGAUAACCGAGCUCCGGGACAGACAUGACGCCUGAGUGGGAGCCGGUUCGAGGGUUCGCACCACACGUGGUUAAGCCCCCUGCUUGCAUGCGGCGGACUCCAAGAAGAUGUGCACCUGGACUUGCCCCCUGCUGCAAACUUGUCUCUGGGCUGAUGGGCAUCUGGGUCAUGGGAAAGAUCGUUGUCAGCACUUAUUUCUUUAUUUUUUCUUUGUUUGAUUCUGAAUAUGAUCUUGACAAGACAGAGACUUCCUUUAAUAAUAGGACAGAAGGUCGUGAUCUAUUUUUGAUCACUAAUACCACAAGCUUUCCUGCUCCUCUUUACAGCAGACAGAGCCUCUGAUGACAGGGACUCCAAGGUUGCAGAUUAUGUCUUCUCUUAUAGAUAAGGAAAUAUAAGAUUUAGCAAAGAAUUAUACUUAUAAGGAUAGUGAUGCUUCUUCUAUUAGGUGUUGGUAGAACUGUUGAGAAAUGAUUCCUUGAGCUUUGGGUCGGCUAUGAAUAUUUUACAGAGUAUAGAAACAGGUGGUGGCAACCAGGUACUUACAGGGGACCAUAUGUGCAUCGACCAACGGAUGCUCCAUUACCAUAUACUGGAGAAUAUGAUUUAAAUUUUGAUAGGUGGGUUACUAAGGAUGGAUAUAGGGUCAGGUAUUUGUCACUGCCUUGGUCAGAAAGAUUGGCAAGAGCCCGUCCUCCUUGGUGUGUGCUCUCAGAAGAAGAGAAAUGAGAGGUAAGGUCACAGAUCAUCAGAUACUUUAGACAGGGAUCAGACAUACAAUAUUAUUGCCCCAAGCCUUGGAUGUACAUCUAUAGGACUAACAAAGAUGGGAUCAAAGGGUUAGCGAUAGAACUAGAUACACAGACCUGAUGGCGUAAGAUAUGCCAGACUUGCGGUCCCCUGAAACUUCCUCCUUGAUGUG